UUCGCACAACAUCUUGUAUUUGGGGUCCAGCUUGCUGCUGUUGCUCGGCUGCUUGUCCUCGCUCGCCACCCACUGCCGUGGUCUCCAAAGCACUAGGUUCGCUAAUGAUACGACAUGCAUCAAAAGUACAUAAAAAAAGAUGUGAAAGAAUGAACCUCUCUGUUAACCUAAAUAUUGGUUACCGUGGAUCCAGAGUCAGUAGAUUCAAUUGUCAGAAGAAUUUUGCUCCAUUUCCAUUUAUACACAACAUCUUGUAUUUGGGGUCCAGCUUGCUGCUGUUGCUCGGCUGCUUGUCCUCGCUCGCCACCCACUGCCGUGGUCUCCAAAGCACUAGGUUCGCUAAUGAUACGACAUGCAUCAAAAGUACAUAAAAAAAGAUGUGAAAGAAUGAACCUCUCUGUUAACCUAAAUAUUGGUUACCGUGGAUCCAGAGUCAGUAGAUUCAAUUGUCAGAAGAAUUUUGCUCCAUUUCCAUUUAUACCAGACUAGAAACUUAAAAAUUGGCUAGAGAUAAAAUGGCAGUGAUAACAAUACCAAAUUAUGUCAGAUACUGAACAGGGUCAUG
rnacentral:lncRNA from 1 species